rnacentral:rRNA from 1 species
GACGAACGCUGGCGGCGUGCCUAAUACAUGCAAGUCGAACGAGAGCGACCGGUGCUUGCACUGGUCAAUCUAGUGGCGAACGGGUGAGUAACACGUGGGUAACCUGCCCAUCAGAGGGGGAUAACAUCCGGAAACGGAUGCUAAAACCGCAUAGGUCUUCGAACCGCAUGGUUUGAAGAGGAAAAGAGGCGCAAGCUUCUGCUGAUGGAUGGACCCGCGGUGCAUUAGCUAGUUGGUGAGGUAACGGCUCACCAAGGCCGUGAUGCAUAGCCGACCUGAGAGGGUGAUCGGCCACAUUGGGACUGAGACACGGCCCAAACUCCUACGGGAGGCAGCAGUAGGGAAUCUUCCGCAAUGGACGCAAGUCUGACGGAGCAACGCCGCGUGAGUGAAGAAGGUUUUCGGAUCGUAAAACUCUGUUGUUAGAGAAGAACAAGUGCUAGAGUAACUGUUAGCGCCUUGACGGUAUCUAAACAGAAAGCCACGGCUAACUACGUG